rnacentral:rRNA from 1 species
AUACGGAGGACGCGAGCGUUAUCCGGAUUCAUUGGGUUUAAAGGGUGCGCAGGCGGCCGUGCAAGUCAGCGGUGAAAGCCCGGGGCUCAACCCCGGAAGUGCCGUUGAUACUGCAUGGCUGGAAUGCGGUCGAGGCGGGCGGAACGGGGCGUGUAGGGGGGAAAUGGGUAGAUAUGCCACAGAAAGCCGAUAGCGGAGGCAGCUCGCCAGGCCUGCAUUGACGCUCGGGCACGAAAGCGUGGGGAUCGAACAGGAUUAGAUACCCUGGUAGUCCAUGCAGUAAACGAUGAUAACUAACCGCUGGGUCGUAGUGAUUCAGUGGCCAAGCGAAAGCGAUAAGUUAUCCACCUGGGGAGUACGACCGCAAGGUUGAAACUCAAAUGAAUUGACGGGG